ACGAAAAGGUGUUUAUGUCGGUCCUAAUUUUUGUAUAUCUUGUGCAGUUUGGGGUAUAGAAUACCCUCGGAAGCCGACAGCCUGACUUUAAUUAUGCAUCCUGCCAUGAGAGGCCAUAACAGUACUAUUGGUGCGAAGAGUGGCCGCAGUAGAAUAAGCCAGUCAUCCCCUAGAGCAUUGGCCAUCAUCAAAAUUCAUGAACAGCAAUAUUGAUGAUCUACCGGACUCUUUAUUGGCUGAAAUCUUUUGUCGACUUCCUUCCUAUAAGUCCGUUUCACAAUGCAAGUGCGUUUCCAAGCGUUGGUGCAUUCUCAUUUAGGAUACUCAUUUUAUGGGCCGUUUUCUAUACCUCCAAAGGGACCGUAACCAAAAGCCAAUAACUACUGCAAUAGAUACAAAAGGGGAGGAAUUCCUUAGAAGAAUGUCGCCGUCCUCUCAACCGUUGAAUCAGCUUUUCCAAAGACUUGUGAGUUUCCAUGGUUUGAAACAAGAGCCAGUUAUGGGAGGUACAUAUAAUGACUUAGUUCUGUGCUGCGCAAGCGAGUUUAACCAGCGCGAUUACUACAUCUGCAAUCCAUAUACAAUCCAGUGGGUUCCUCUUUCUCCCCCACCACAAGUGUGCGAGUUUGUACUAGUGGGAUUCAUCUGUGAUCUUCCCUACUAUAACAACAAGGAAGAUUAUCAGCCAGGAGAUUGAUCCAGCUUAAUGCGGAUUAUAGGUGCAGGGUUGUGAGAUUAAUGGAUCCUGAUGAUGCCGAUGACGAGGACAAGGAAAUGAUAGAUUUCAGCAACUUCAAACUCAUCGACAUGAGAGAUUUCUGCACAUUCAAAGUGCAGAUCUUCUCUUCUGAGACUGGUGAAUGGAAGGAGACAACUGUAAGAUCCGAGAGAAAUGUAACAUCCGCGUACAACUUUACUUUGGAAAUGAUGAGUGUCUGUACUGGCGUUGCUUCCAAACGAAUGCUGUAUUGGAUGGGCGAUGAUGAUGACAUUCUUAUUCAGUUGGAUCCGUUCAUGAUCAACAAGAGUGCUAGUGCUACUUUAUCUACCUGUUAUAGACACCGUAUCAGGAAUGAGUGGGACGCUCUUCCAAUGAGGUGCAUAGCAGCGUAUGAUGGGGGUGUGCGGAUGUGCAACUAGGACUAUGUUUCCGGCAAUCUGUCUAUUUGUGAGUUGAAGGAAGAAGAAGAAGAAGAAGAUCCGAGGGUGAGUUGAAGGAUCAAAGAGUUUGUUUGUGAAACUUAAGAAGAGGGUUUACUUGGUGGAUGAAACAAAGGUUGUGAUAGGUCCAUGGACAGAGAUUGAGGGGGUAUUUUUCGACCAAAAUAACGAGGAUACCUUGUAUAUGAUAGUAGAUACGAAGAAGUUCCAUGUUUGGAUAAAAGAUAUUAUCAGGUGCAACAUUGUAACCGGAGAGGUGUCAAAGAUUGUUGGAAACAGAAAAUUUAAUUGUUUCAGAUUCUUCCCGAUCGUGAUCCCAUGGUGGCCGACUCCAGUCCCUCGACUAGCGCAAGGUGCAAUAUCCAAAUAGCGCAGAGGUGUCAAAGUAAAUUUUUUCAAAUUCUUCCCGGCCGUUUGAAAGCUUAUGUUUCCUUCUUGUUUGAUGGGUUCGAUGGUGAAGAUUGCUACGCAGUGGACUCAAACAAGUGAAGCUGGAGAUGCGUAGGAAAUUGGCCGGCGGAAUGGGGGUUGGCAUUGGCAUGAAUGUAGAGAUUUCUACAUUGUAUUUGUUCAUCUCUCAAAGCCGUCGUCUUGUUAACCCAUUAUGCUUUAUUUUAUUUUCUUUGCUUCAAUUUCAAUAACGCAUUCCGCUUUA